rfam:Schistosoma margrebowiei strain Zambia genome assembly, scaffold: SMRZ_scaffold0001702
AUCCGACUGACGAGUCCCAUAUAGGACGAAACGCAAAUCCUGGAU